rnacentral:rRNA from 1 species
AUUGAACGCUGGCGGCAGGCCUAACACAUGCAAGUCGAGCGGAUGAGGGUAGCUUGCUACCUGAUUCAGCGGCGGACGGGUGAGUAAUGCCUAGGAAUCUGCCUGGUAGUGGGGGACAACGUUUCGAAAGGAACGCUAAUACCGCAUACGUCCUACGGGAGAAAGUGGGGGAUCUUCGGACCUCACGCUAUCAGAUGAGCCUAGGUCGGAUUAGCUAGUUGGUGAGGUAAUGGCUCACCAAGGCGACGAUCCGUAACUGGUCUGAGAGGAUGAUCAGUCACACUGGAACUGAGACACGGUCCAGACUCCUACGGGAGGCAGCAGUGGGGAAUAUUGGACAAUGGGCGAAAGCCUGAUCCAGCCAUGCCGCGUGUGUGAAGAAGGUCUUCGGAUUGUAAAGCACUUUAAGUUGGGAGGAAGGGUUGUAACCUAAUACGUUGCAAUUUUGACGUUACCGACAGAAUAAGCACCGGCUAACUCUGUGC